AGUAGAAGUAAUUAAAUCAUUUUUAAUUGUUUGAGUAGGUGAGACUGAAUUUAACGAUAGAUAAGCGAUAGAUAAUUGAUAGUAACGUGAGUGAAGGUAAUUUAUAUCAGAGGAGUAGCAGCGAUGGGUUCGCUGUACCUUUUGCAUCAUGGCUCUACUACUUUUUAUUCUAAUGAGGUAGCCCGAAAGUUUGGUGAGCUACUUUCUUGCUAUGGGUUGGUGUUGUAGUAUCAUCCAGAGACGAGAAGAUAGUGGCGAAAUACUUUUCGCAUUGACUGAUAGCUGGUUGUUUUGGAAAUAUAUAGAAGUAUAGCCCUUUUUGGGGCGGGUUCUACAGGUAUAGUUUAUUUUGUGUUACAAGAUUCCGCCCUCUUUUAGGAGAUGGUUCCCCCAGGCUAAGCUGGGGGGGCGCUUAAAAAGGAUGAUUGGUGAAGUUUUAGGUUUACAAGUAGGUUUCAAGGAGCCAUCUUCAUGGAGUGGGUUAUACCACAUAUGGGCCUUUCUUUAAAAUUAUAGUAGGUUUAUCUUUUAGUUGUACGAAACCUUCCCACGAAACUACGUUAGUGGGAGUGAUAAUGUAGAGAUGAGUAGUCGAGAUGGUUGUAGUUAUUUUUUGCUGCGGGGUAAAAAAUAAAAAUGUAAGAGUGCGUAUUGGUAAACAAAGCUUAAGGAACUCGGCAAAAGAGAGGACCGCCUGUUUAGCAAAAACAUGGCUUUCUGACUAACAUGGGGGGUCGUGCCUUCCCGGUGGGUAUACGAGCCUAAACGGACGCGGUAAAUCGUGCUAAGGUAGCUAAAUUAUGGCCCAUUAAUUGUGGGUCCUGUGAAUGGUUUGACGAGUCCUCUACUGUCUCAAGGUUGUUUUGGUGAACUUGAAUUGAAUGUGCAAAUGCUUUCAUACGAAAGAAAGACGAAGAAGACCCCGUGAAGUUAGAAAUUCCUAUUACAGCGUAAACCCACAUUGACUGUGUCAGCGUUAAAGAGCAGAUAGGGCUUUGGAUCUUUUUUUGAAGGUCCCGGCUUUAUGGCUUUUGAGCAGCGGAAUGUAGUUUUGACGAGUUUUGGCUGGGGCAGCAAAGAGGCAAAACUAGACCUUUUUAAUCACUAAACGGAUACGUUACGACCCACAAAACAUGAAAAUCGUGAUUAACAGAAGGAGUUACUCCGGGGAUAACAGCGUAAUCUUCCUUGAUAGUUCUUAUAGAUGGGCGGGUUUGCGACCUCGAUGUUGGCUCUGGGUAUCCUGAGGCAUGCAGGCGGUCUCAAGGGUUGGUUCGUUCGCCCAUUAAAACCCGACGUGAGCUGAGUUCAGAUCGGCGAAAGCUAGGUCGGUUUCUAUCUUCUUUCAUUAAAAUUUAGGCGGUAGGGUACGAAAGGACAUUCGGCUUUAGAGUAACAAACUGUCAGUGCUGAAUUUAAAAUAA